rnacentral:rRNA from 1 species
UACAGAGGUGGCAAGCGUUGUUCGGAAUUACUGGGCGUAAAGGGCGCGUAGGCGGACAGCUUAGUCAGAGGUGAAAGCCCAGGGCUCAACCUUGGAAUUGCCUUUGAUACUGGCUAUCUUGAGUUCGGGAGAGGUGAGUGGAAUGCCGAGUGUAGAGGUGAAAUUCGUAGAUAUUCGGCGGGACACCAGUGGCGAAGGCGACUCACUGGCCCGAUACUGACGCUGAGGCGCGAAAGCGUGGGGAGCAAACAGG